rnacentral:rRNA from 1 species
UACGGAGGGGGCAAGCGUUGUUCGGAGUUACUGGGCGUAAAGCGCGCGUAGGCGGUGCGGUAAGUCAGGGGUUAAAGGCUGCAGCUCAACUGCAGUAAGGCCUUUGAUACUAUCGUGCUAGAGUGUCAGAGAGGAUGGCGGAAUUCCCGGUGUAGGGGUGAAAUCCGUAGAUAUCGGGAGGAACACCGGUGGCGAAAGCGGCUCUCUGGACUGUAACUGACGCUCAUGCACGAAAGCGUGGGGAGCAAACAGG